rnacentral:rRNA from 1 species
CAGCCGCCGCGGUAAUACGAAGGGGGCUAGCGUUGUUCGGAUUUACUGGGCGUAAAGCGCACGUAGGCGGAUCGAUCAGUCAGGGGUGAAAUCCCAGAGCUCAACUCUGGAACUGCCUUUGAUACUGUCGGUCUGGAGUAUGGAAGAGGUGAGUGGAAUUCCGAGUGUAGAGGUGAAAUUCGUAGAUAUUCGGAGGAACACCAGUGGCGAAGGCGGCUCACUGGUCCAUUACUGACGCUGAGGUGCGAAAGCGUGGGGAGCAAACAGGAUUAGAUACCCGUGUAGUCCCUGUCUCUUAUAA